rnacentral:rRNA from 1 species
GACGAACGCUGGCGGCGUGCUUAACACAUGCAAGUCGAACGGAAAGGCCUCUUUCGGGGGGUACUCGAGUGGCGAACGGGUGAGUAACACGUGAGUAACCUGCCCUUGACUUUGGGAUAACUUCAGGAAACUGGGGCUAAUACCGGAUAGGAGCUCCUGCUGCAUGGUGGGGGUUGGAAAGUUUCGGCGGUUGGGGAUGGACUCGCGGCUUAUCAGCUUGUUGGUGGGGUAGUGGCUUACCAAGGCUUUGACGGGUAGCCGGCCUGGGAGGGUGACCGGCCACAUUGGGACUGGGAUACGGCCCAGACUCCUACGGGAGGCAGCAGUGGGGAAUAUUGCACAAUGGGUGGAAGCCUGAUGCAGCAACGCCGUGUGCGGGAUGACGGCCUUCGGGUUGGAAACCGCUUUCGCUCAUGACGAAGCUUUGUGUGACGGUAGUGGGUAAAGAAGCACCGGCUAACUACGUG